rnacentral:rRNA from 1 species
CUGCCCAGUGAUUUUAUUCAACGGCCGCGGUACCCUAACCGUGCGAAGGUAGCAUAAUCACUUGUUCUUUAAAUGGGGACUUGUAUCAACGGCAUCACGAGGGUUAUACUGUCUCCUUUCUCCAAUCAGUGAAACUGAUCUCCCCGUGAAGAAGCGGGGAUGCUUAUAUAAGACGAGAAGACCCCAUGGAGCUUUAAACCCAAUUGCACCUCGCCCAUAUUACACCCUCUUAACUAGCGAGUCCUGUCUCUUGGUUUUAGGUUGGGGUGACCACGGAGCACAAAAACACCUCCGAGAUGAAUGGGGCUAACCCCCCCUUAUCUAAGAGCUACCUCUCUAAGAAUUAGUAUUCUAACAUAAAAUGAUCCGAUUUUCGAUCAACGAACCAAGUUACCCUGGGGAUAACAGCGCAAUCCACUUCAAGAGCCCCUAUCGACAAGUGGGUUUACGACCUCGAUGUUGGAUCAGGGUAUCCCAGCGGUGCAGCAGCUGCUAAAGGUUCGUUUGUUCAACGAUUAAAACCCUACAUGAUCUGAGUUUCAAACCG